CAGGGAGAGCUCAGGGUCCUGUGGUAAGAAGGCUGGAUUCUGGCAGUCCUCACAGCACAGCCUCACUGGUAGCUGGGAGACCAACUGCAAAGGACUGAAUGCAGUCAGGGCCUAGCGGCAAGGCUGUCUGCACAGGUGGAUUCCGUUAAAGUGACAGGGGCGCUGCACAGACACUGACCUCAGCCAAUCACCAGAAAUAUGGACAACUGUUUUGGAUGAAAUAGAGCUUCACAAUUUCAAGUCACUUUACAUUUUGGAAUGAAUGGAACAUUGGAGACAAUUGCACAAAACUUAGAUACUGAUCAGACAGGAAAAAUAUUAAUUUCACGAGCUGGAUAGGAUAAUAGUACUUAGAAAUUGUACAUGUCUUAGUAAUUAACUCAGCAGAUUCAACCAGUUCAAUAUUUGUGGAUAUGCUGAAUUAGGGGAGAGCAGAAUCUGGGAUGCUGAUAGUACAUUCCUGCUGCAGAUGUAACCCACACACCUCCUGGUGCUCUGUCCCCUCUAGAGGUACUGAGACCAUUAGAGAUUAAUGAAUCUGCUACAGUCUUAGCCAAGAACCAUAUGGCUUUUAGCUCACACAAUAGAGGCUCAGACACUAAGCUCCAGAGAUCCCAGGUUUGAUCACACCUGCUGACGGCCAGGGUCUAUCCAUUCAUCUUCCAGGAUGUUUUCUUCUAUAAUUUUAUUUAAAAAUACUUUAAUUUUGCAGACAAAUAACAGUACUCUGAGGAAAGUUUUGUAAGCUGGCUCUUGAUUCCAAGUUUACUGUCAGUUAUAGAAUUAAAUUUCUUUGACAAAGAGAAAAAAUGAUCAAUAUUGAAUAAUACAGUGCAAGUGCAUCCCAGUCCAGAGAGUCCAACCCCCUUCAGGUGGCAGCCUGUCCUUCCGAGGGGUCAGUAACUUCUUUCCCAACCCCACUCCAUUGCACCUGGCCUCUGCACUCUUACCCGGCCUCUACCUCUCUUCGUCCUCUCUCUGAGCAGAGUUGACCCUGUAUGCUCCAGCUGAGUAUUUCAAAAUGUAAGAUUCUAAAACCAGAUAAAGAGGUCACUGACUAGUGUAAACCCAUAGUCACUCUGUUUGAGGCCUGUGAGUGACUCCUGACUUGCACUUGGGCCUCAGACAGCAGAGUCAACCUGCAAGGGAUAGGAAGACAUCUCUGUGCUGCUUGUUCAAAAAUUUUGGAUAAUAACAGUAAAGGGGGUGUGAACAUCAGUGUGGUAGUGGCGCCUGGUAACUGCAGGGACUCCCGUGAAAUUACUUACACACGCACAUUUAAUUUAAACCGUCGUUUCCCCACCAGUGAGCACUCGUCCACAGUAACUCAGCUGUAUUAUCUGGGUUCUGAACACAGGCAGAAAUUAGCGUGUUUCCACUAACUUCCCUCUUUAAUCCUUUUUUCAGUUAUCUUUUUGAUAACGUUACCCAUUUCUACCUCACUUCAUGCUUUCAGCCGUAUUGGAAUUCUCUCACCCACUCCCUGGCUGUCUGGUUUAUCAGCUGUUCACUCUAAUUCUCCAUUUAGCUUGGUUUUGGACAGAGACAAGUUUUGCCUUUCGAUCUGCUUGAUAUAUUUUGAUGUUGUCUCCUAGUAACCUGGACCUUUUGUCAUCAAGCCAUUCCCAAUCUAUUAUACUUGUUUUUCUUCUCCUUUUGUAUCUCUCCUAAAUGGCUUCAGUCCUUGUUUUCUCCAACUAAGUUAUUUUUAUUUGUCACAUGAGAAGUUGAUCAGCCUAACUUGUACAAUCACUUCUUUGUUCUAAAUUAACUGUAACCCCUUUAGAAAUAGGCUUGGGGUGAAUGUAAUCAUGGGUAGCUCAAUGGAAAUGCCAGCAGUAGUCAAAAUGCCAAACAAUAUUAGGCUACAUGAUAGAUUAAUAACCCUUAAGACCUGAUGGGGCCAUUCUGAUAAUCUAUCCUGACUUCCCACACAGCAAACUAGAGAAUUUCACCUGAUCAUUGCUGCAGCAAACCCAUAACUUUGGGCUAAGUUAGACCAGGGUAUUUAGAAAGAGACGGCUUGUUUUGAUUUAUACAUUUCAGGUCCAUCACAUCCCUAGGUCAGGUGCUCCAGUGGUUAAUUGCCCUCCCUGUUAACAAUUUGGGGAAAGGAAUGGGCUAGAAACUAUGAUAACGCUAUUAUGUACAUUGGUGGUAGGCCCUCACUUUCUGUGUUCUGCUCAGAUCAUGACUUAUUUUUAUGCCAUAGUUAAAAGGCUACAAGUAGGUGCCUAUUUGAUUGGCCUUCGAUGAACAGAACCCAAAUUAUGAAGAUGAGAUUUUAUUUGGCAUUUAUGUUUGUGAGGGGGCAUUUCAUUUCAUUUAUGCAGCUUUCCACAGGGCAAUUUAUAAAUUGUGAUACAAUUUAAAAGUAAUUUUAUCAUAGGAAUCUUUACAGAGAUCAAAGGCAAAGGUUCAGUCAUAAAAUGUAUUUUACAAAUUCAGGGUUCACAUUUUACUUUUCCAGUGCAAACUAGGACUGCAAAACUCUGGAUAAAGUCUGUGUAGCAAGACUCCUCAUUCUUCUUAAAAUUUUCCAGGCAUUCUAGCUCACGUGCAGGAAGGUAAAAAUUGCCACCUAACAAACCAAACUCUUCUCCUCCACAAUGUAAUAAAACACUAUAAUUGCUGCCUGAAAGCUCACCCAAGUGGCUUGUCCCUCCUGGCUUCCUCUCCACAUCCAUCAGAUAAAACAUUGACACCAAGAUCCCUUCUGCAUGAGCUAUUCACAAAGUUCUCCGUUCUGUUUAUACUCCAUUACCUAUUAGAAGGGUGCCUGUGUGAAGACUCUGAUUGCAGCGCUAUCCUCUGGCUGAAUUCUGGUCCAUGUUUAGGUUGGAGAAAAAGAAACUGGCUCAGAAUCUGCCAAUUUGGUGAGGCGCAGGCAGUGCCUUCUCAGCUGCUGUAGAAUUGUGCAUAAGUGCUUGGAGGGGACGCAGAUUGUUCAGCCAUGCUGCUUGGUUCUCCCAAGUGCUCGAGUCAAGGAGAAGGUUUCAGCCACAAGGGAUUGGUGCUCAGGUGUUGCCCUUUUACCGGGUGACAGGAGCAUAAGAGGCAGAAUGUCUCUCUUUUCCUUGGAUAAAGCCCAUGGUUUGGACACUGCCAGUUCAGAGGAGAACAGGAUACUUCACAGCACCGCGUGUGCCUCUUUCCCAGGAGGCUGUUUUGCAGCUCUGUAUGACAUGGCUCUGGGCCAGCAGUGACAGGCAGAGUGCCAGCUGCUGGCACGGCGUUCUAAAGAACUGCUCUUAAGCUGCACUGCUCAUUCUCUGCGAUGUUCCCUUACCUUAUCUUGCAAGGUAAUUAUGGAAGAAAGUAAUGUUUGUAUUCAAUUGUAUUAACAUUCAAUUAAUGUUAUUGAGUUGAAAUAUGUAGUGACAGAGACCAGGAACCUCUUGGGUAUCUAGGUGUCAAACUCCCUUCGAUUUCAAUGGGAGUUAACCAACUAAUAACUCUGAGGGUCUGAGCCUAAUUUUUGUCUAAAGAAAUGCAGAGUGCAACAGUGUGUCUGAUCAAGUAUCCAGUAAACACAACCCUGCAUAUGUUAGUGUGACACAUGGCUAGAAAGGGUUAAACAUCCUGUAAAAUGAAUAACCCUCAAAAGACGUGCGGAGAUACUGUUUGUGGUUUUGUGUAUUUACAUACGUAUGAGUAAGGCCGACAAUGUAAUCAGCAGUCCCUGUCUAUGCUGUAUUUUGAUAAUAGAGAGGUCAAAAGAAUAUCCUAGCAUUUAAAUGAAUUGUAAACACAGGAUAUCUCUGU